rnacentral:rRNA from 1 species
AUUGGACGCUGGCGGCAGGCCUAACACAUGCAAGUCGAGCGGGGUUUUCGGACCUAGCGGCGGACGGGUGAGUAAUGCGUAGGAAGCUGCCCGAUAGAGGGGGAUACCAGUUGGAAACGACUGUUAAUACCGCAUAAUGUCUACGGACCAAAGUGUGGGACCUUCGGGCCACAUGCUAUCGGAUGCGCCUACGUGGGAUUAGCUAGUUGGUGAGGUAAUGGCUCACCAAGGCGACGAUCUCUAGCUGGUUUGAGAGGAUGAUCAGCCACACUGGAACUGGGACACGGUCCAGCCGCCUACGGGAGGCAGCAGUGGGGAAUAUUGGACAAUGGGCGCAAGCCUGAUCCAGCCAGGCCGCGUGUGUGAAGAAGGCCUUCGGGUUGUAAAGCACUUUCAGCGAGGAGGAAGGGAUGUAUGUUAAUAGCAUGCAUUUUUGACGUUACUCGCAGGAGAAGCACCGGCUAACUCUGUGCCAGCCGCCGCCGUAACAC